ensembl:lncRNA
CUGCAGCAGAAUACAGUACUGGUCUGCAGUAGAAUACAGUACUGAAGGUAGAGUACUGGUCUGCAGUAGAAUACAGUACUGAAGGUAGAGUACUGGUCUGCAGUAGAAUACAGUACUGAAGGUAGAGUACUAGUCUGCAGCAGAAUACAGUACUGAAGGUAGAGUACUAGUCUGCAGCAGAAUACAGUACUGGAGGUAGAGUACUGGUCUGCAGCAGAAUACAGGACUGGUCUGCAGUAGAAUACAGUACUGGAGGUAGAGUACUGGUCUGCAGUAGAAUACAGUACUGGAGGUAGAGUACUGGUCUGCAGCAGAAUACAGUACUGGUCUGCAGUAGAAUACAGUACUGAAGGUAGAGUACUGGUCUGCAGUAGAAUACAGUACUGAAGGCAGAGUACUGGUCUGCAGUAGAAUACAGUACUGAAGGCAGUAGAAUACAGUACUGGAGGUAGAGUACUGGUCUGCAGUAGAAUACAGUACUGGAGGUAG